rnacentral:ncRNA from 1 species
UAUCUUCAGGGCAGGGUGAAAUUCCCGAUCGGCGGUAUAGUCCGCGAACGCUUCGGCGUAGGAGCAUAGGCUCAGGAUUUGGUGUAAUUCCAAAACCGACAGUAUAGUCUGGAUGGAAGAAGAU